CACGUAGGGUGCGAGCGUUGUCCGGAAUUAUUGGGCGUAAAGAGCUCGUAGGCGGUGUGUCGCGUCGGCCGUGAAAACCUGCAGCUUAACUGUGGGCGUGCGGUCGAUACGGGCAUCACUGGAGUUCGGCAGGGGAGACUGGAAUUCCUGGUGUAGCGGUGAAAUGCGCAGAUAUCAGGAGGAACACCGGUGGCGAAGGCGGGUCUCUGGGCCGAUACUGACGCUGAGGAGCGAAA
rnacentral:rRNA from 1 species